UUGCUGAAGAUGAUUUUAUAUAGAUAAAACUUUGUGCUUUAGAGAAUGUCUGUAAUGUCCUGAAAACCUAUUGGGUUCCAAAGUAUUUUGUUAGAGUAAUUUCUUGUUGAUAAGAAUAAUUUUAUUUUGGGAAAUCAGUUUUAAUAUUAAUCAAUAUGAAAAAAGACUAAAACUCCACUGGGAGAGACACAUGGGCAAAAGACAAACAGGCAUGUCACAAAAGAAGAAAUAUGUAAUAGUAAUAAAAGCAUAAAAAAGAUAUUUGCCUUCAUGAGUAAUUAGGAAAAUGAACAUUAAGUGACAGGAAGAUUGCAGUGCAAACAGUAGGUUGGACAAAACAAGAAACCUGACAAUACCAAAUGCUUGUGAAAUGUGGGGACAAAAUAAUGAGAAGUAGCCAUUGUCAUUGACCCUAUAUUUUUGCUGUCUGCUCUGACCUUCAGGUCAUGGGAUGCUGACAAGGGAGGGGAAACCACAGUCACCCUCCACUGGUGAUUGUCACAGGCUGUCAGAGGGGAGACCAGCCUCAGGGGGCAGGGGCAGGUUUCUGUCUCAGUUCCCCAUGUGUCUGGAGCACUGUGGACCACUGAUGCUACUGUCCCAUGUUGAGCAGUAAUAGACAGCCUCAUCCUCAGGCUGGAGCCCCGUGAUGGUCAGGGAAGCUGUGCCACUCGCCUUGAAGCCAGAGAACCGAGCUGGGAUCCCCGAGGGCCGAGAAGUUCUGAGCAUCACAGUCUUGGGGGUGCCCCCAGGGAGCUGCUGGUACCAGCCAGCGCCAUAAGAUCCAAGCAGUUACUGUUGGAGCUGGAUGAUGCUGGCCUCCAGGUGGAGAAGGUCCAUGGCCAAACCCUCAUUUUGAUGAACAGCAGAGUGGUCUCCAGCAGGGAAUUGGUCAAACCCAAGCUAGCUGAACGUAACAGAAAUUUUGAGAUGGUGUCUCAGCAUAUCAGAAUUGCCAACGUAAGUAAUCUUUUCAUGUACAACUCUUUCCCUGUGUAUGUGUAUCUAAACAAUAUAUGAUGAUAGACUGUGUGCAUCAAAUUUUUAAAAAUUAAAAUGAUACUCAUGCUUUUCUU